ACAUGCCUACAACAUAGAGUUAAUGCACCUGAUCCCAUUAGAACUCCACAGUUGAGCGCAUUCAGACUGGAGUAGUAUUGGGGUGGGUGACCACCCGGGAAGUCUGAGUGUUUUACAUGAC
rfam:Picea glauca, whole genome shotgun sequence.